UUUAUAAAUUGUCUUUUAUAUAGACGAGCAAGAUGGUUCAGCACAAUCUAAUUAAUGGAUCAUUUAAGAUGCUAUUAUAAAAGUUUUUUUUUUUAUCUUAAUCUUAUUUUUGAAUACAGUAAUCGUUUUAAUACCAAUGUUUUCAUUUAUAAUGAUCCUUUCUUUGUUAAAUUUAGGAUUAGAUUAGUUAAGCCGCCAUAUCGCAAGUGGGAUAUUCUGUAUCUGGCGGCGGCCACUUAUAGAGCCUAUCACAGAUUAGUCAAUACCCAUGAUGGGGUCAACCGGAUGAUUGAUAGUGGGGUUCAACGGAUCGG
rnacentral:lncRNA from 1 species